AUUGAACGCUGGCGGCAGGCCUAACACAUGCAAGUCGAACGAGUGGCGGACGGGUGAGUAAUGUCUGGGAAACUGCCUGAUGGAGGGGGAUAACUACUGGAAACGGAAGCUAAUACCGCAUACCAUCAGAUGUGCCCAGAUGGGAUUAGCUAGUUGGUGGGGGAACGGCUCACCAAGGCGACGAUCCCUAGCUGGUCUGAGAGGAUGACCAGCCACAUGGGACCUGAGACACGGUCCAGCCUCUUACGGUAGGCAGCAGUGGUGAAUAUUGCACAAUGGGCGCAAUCCUGAUGCAGCCAUGCCGCGUGUAUGAAGAAGGCCUUCGGGUUGUAAAGUACUUUCAGCGGGGCGGCGUUACCCGCAGAAGAAGCACCGGCUAACUCCGUGCCAGCAGCCGCGGUAAUUC
rnacentral:rRNA from 1 species